CCCGACGAGCCGCACCCGCUCGGCGACGAGGCGGACCAGGUCGCCGGGGAGCGACGCCCAGCCGCCGCUCUCCUCGGCGAUCCUCCUGCGCUUGCGGCGAUCGCGGGGUUGCCCCACGCGCCUUGCUGUUCCUGCUGCGGCCGGAGUGCCUUCGCCGAUCGGAGCCGCCGCGUGAGAAAAGGGCACUGGUGACUCCAUCAUUGCGAUCUGUGACUAGGGUGGAGUUGGAGUCCUUCCUGGUCGUAGAUGCUGUUAGGCACACGAUCCGUUUCUCUUUGAGCGUGGCGUCGUGCGAUGGCUUUGAUCGGCCUAAAU
rnacentral:lncRNA from 1 species